UGAUAAUUAGCGGUCACAACCAUUAUAGCUGAAGAGGGUUAUAUUACUUCAAAUGAUUUCAGACUUCAGGAAAAGUCGCCCGCAGGUUGCGUAUGCUGGGAAGGCUGGUGAUGCAAGAUAUCAGGUGAAUCCUCAGACCUCUUCUUGUGGUUUAAAUAAAAUUAGAAAAUUGAAGGGCUGUCCGUACUCAUUUCAAGCACCAAGAAAUAAUCGACUUCAUUGGUGUUGAAGAGGAGGAAGAUAUAUCAGGCAGCUAUUUAAGAGCAGCGGAGAGGAGGUUUCUGGUUGUACUCACUGAAGCUAUUGGAUACUCCACAAUAAAUCCACUUAUCAGAGUGACUAACCUGUGUGUGCUUUGGCUGGAAGAGUCAUUGCCCAGUCCUAGUGCUUGAUAUGAGAUGUCGGUUAUCCGAAGAGGACAAACGAGUUUUCGUUGAAAUAUUUCUCAAGUCAGCUGGGCAACUGUUUCGUUUGGAAAAACAAUGCUGUCAACUGGAAAGGAAAGCCACACAGACACACCGUCAACAUAUUGUGCAUUGAUGGUUGGCAUAUUUGGCGGAACGCAGGGGGCACACACAAGAUGUUACGGCACAAGGUUUCUGAUAUGGCUUUUCACUCCCUGGAUGCAAAUUUGGCCCGACGUGUGCAAAGAAGAAGCAAGGCAUCAAUGUUUCAAUAGACAUUGCUGGAGUCCACCUCCAGGCAUGGUGCUACUCGUUCUCGAGCUCACUUUUCUGAAGAUCAUGUUAACAGCUUGACCUCUAACUCAUCUCCAUUAAGAUGGCAAGGGGAAUUGGGAUACGCAUUAAGGUGUAUGGUAACAUUUCGUUAGAUUUAUGUGAAUAAUUGUAUUUACCCUUUUUUCAUUGUAUUAAGAAGCAUUAUCUAUCACUUCAAGAAAAAAAAAGGAA